CCAGAAAGAAACAACCUAGAGGAUUGGGAGGCCGAACAUGCAAGGAGAAGCUUCAUCCCAUACGGGAAAUCCGUGUUAUUAUCCCAGUUGAACGCAAAGGUGGAGCCUCGCAGCACCCUGAUAGAAUUGAAAACCAUGAGAGAGAUGGAAGAAAUUCGGAAUAAGGCAGCCGAAGGAUCCUCUCCAAUUCCAAAGAACAAUCUUGGUUUGCCAGGAAGAAUUCCACGAUUGACAAGUAGUCAUCAAUCCAGGAGGCUGUUUGGUACUGUGGCAUCGACAGCCUUGAAACUGUUAAAG
rnacentral:rRNA from 1 species